AAAAAAAAAAAAAAAAAAAAAAAAAAAAAAAAAAAAAACCCACAGAAAACCCACCAAAAAAAAAACACCAAAAAACACUGAAACCCACAAAAAACCAACCAAACAAAACCCCACAACAACAACAAAAAACCACAAAACCAAGCCAAACCAAAACCCCCAAACAAACAAACCAAAACAAAAACAAAAAAACCCAAACAAACAAAUAAAAAAAUAAUUUCACUGUGUAUAAACAGUGGAGAUGAGCAGGAGCUAUGUGGACACAUCAAGAACAGAAUCUGGUCAAAAUAAUUCAAUUUUCCUCUCUCAUAGGGUAAGGGAAUGGUGAUGGAGAGCUUUGGCUGCCAGUCAAGUGGCUUUUAAGGAUGAUCUAGAUGGGAUUUGGGUAGGUACAAAACCCACUAGGUAAUUAUACGCAGACAGUUAUCCACAGUUCACUGUUGAGAAGGAAAGGGUCUGUUGAGUGAAAUUCAGGGACAUCUGUUGUGGGUCUGGUUUUGCUCAGCACUUCCUUUAAUGAUCUGGGUGUUGGAGGAGAAUGUGCACUUGCUAAAUCUGCAGAUUGGGAAGUAUCCAACAACAAAGUUAUUUGCCUAGCAGGUCUCCAGAAUAAAUGGAAUCCUGCUAAAAAUCUUGUGCUUGGGGUGGCAGUAUCAACAAGAAACACCUGGGGAGGUUCUGGGGGCUUGUGAGAGAGAAAUCCUGGGCAAAGACUGUAGAGCACCUGCUGUGUUUGUGCUGGACCAGAGAGCAUCAUGUCUGAGUCCUGGCCCCGUGGGGAAGAAGCUGAAUGUGAGAAGCUGAACUGGCUUAGCUGAACCAGGAAGGCAGGUGGCAUUUGUCAGACAGGAGACAUCUCCCAGAGUGCUCUGCCGCCAACUUGCUCAGUUAGUUACUUGCUGUUGGCCAGCAAAGCUUUUAUGGUUUCCCCCAUGGUUGUGUCAGCUGUUAGGUACCAUUGUACAAAGUGCUCUCAGCUCAGAGCUGGUGUGUGGUUUGCCAUCUGGUUUGGAUCCUACAUGGUGCAAUACCUCUGACUGCAGAAACAGACCCCACCAUCUUCUCCAUACAGCAUGGGAAAGAAAAACUCGAGGCAACUAGCCAGGCUGCAGAGCCACUGGCCACAUGUACCAGUUACCUUGUGUGCUACUGAGUCUGUCCUGCUGUGGUCUGGAGUAAUGUUAAUUUCAAUGACUGCAUCAAAAACCUCAGCCGAAAAAUCAGGACCCAAACUAGGAUUUGACUUUUCCCCACUGGCUCCCAGAGAAGAUAAUGAGAACCAUGUGCUAGAGCUGGCCUUCUGUUUGGCAUAGUUGGACAUAUCUUUAAUCCACUGAAUCUUGUAACAGUCAGCAGCCAAGUCUUGUGCUGUGUCCCCCAGCCAAACAUCAUCUUCUCUGUGGAACAAGUAGAGGACCUCCACAAUCAUCAGAGCAGCACAGAGAACCAGCAAGCACAGGGUGGAGGUGCAGUGUAUGUGGAAAAGGAGGAGGGGAAAGACCGAGUGUGUAAAGAGAUCAGCUCUUCAUCAAGGCAAUAGGAGAGGAUUGUGGCACCACCUGUCUUGGGUUACCAGGGAGAAAAGAUGGACUCUGCUAUGAGCUGGGCUCAGUGGAGGACAGGGUAUUACAGAGAAGCCCAGCCCUUCUUUCUUCCCAUAGAUGGAAGAGUCGUGUUGGAGAGGGGAGUUAAGAACAGCAGCACCAAGAUGAGGUGUGUAUGAAUCUACAUCAACAGCAUUUGUGCCCAGCAGCAAGAGACCUUACUAAGCCUCCGAGAAACAGCAAAAGCCUCCAAGAGGAGAGGAAGAAGUUUAAUCUCUCUCAGACUACCUAACCUGCUGGAAAAUUUCUGUGUUACAAGUGCACAUGGGUCUGAUAUCUGGGCUCUGAGGAGAACCAUGAACUGCUGGUGCCAAGCACCAUGGACUGUACAAGGCUGCAGAUUGCAGAGGUGCAGGUGGUUGGCAGUGUGGCUUUCUGACAGUCUCACCAAAGGCAAGCAGUUGGUGUGAUAUACAGACUGUGCUCUUUGCAAGGAGCUGGCUGCUCAGAUGUCUCAUGAAAGCAGGUGAGCUGACCAGGUACCUGGGAAAGGCCUGAGGGGAUGAUUGUCAGUCAGUUUGGUGAGUUUGCAUCCCUUCCAUAUGCUCCUUGUGGGCUAAGGAGGAAUACUCAAGAAGCUGCUGAAAAGCUGCAUCUUUGCAGUGAAGAUAAAGCUGAACUUUCCUGACCAGAUAGCAGGGGGAUGUGCACAGACUGCUUGUCUGAUCUUUGGUUUCAUUGGACCAUGUUGUGCGUAAGAACUAGUGCAUUAUCUUGGAAAUAAAGGGACAGAGGGUUAUCCUGUGUCCUGGUCCUACACCUGGA